UGCUGAGAAAAGGGUUUAAACCUUUAUUUAAGCAUUU
rnacentral:tRNA from 1 species